GCCAGCUUCAUCAAAUGGCUUGUUGUUAGUUAGUAAUGAGGUUGGGAGAUUGGAAACCGAUCUGGGCUAAAGCCAACUUCAUCAAAUGGCUUGUUGGUAGUUAGUAAUGAGGUUGGGAGAUUGGGAACCGAUCUGGGCUAAAGCCAAGUUCAUCAAAUGGCUUGUUGGAAGUUAGUAAUGAGGUUGGGAGAUUGGGAACCGAUCUGGGCUAAAGCCAACUUCAUCAAAUGGCUUGUUGGUAGUUAGUAAUGAGGUUGGGAGAUAUGGGAACCGAUCUGGGCUAAAGUCAAC
ensembl:lncRNA